AAGCUCAAGAACGGGGGCCUGAAUCACAGAAGGUAACAACGUAUUAGUGGAAACGGAAAUUGGAAUUGGGUUAGACGGCUUACCAUGAUGUUUUGGCAAUGAUUCCAAGGCAGCCACAAGCUCGGCAUGUUAAUCAUUUGGUACGGCCAUGUUGGGUUUUGUGCCAAAUCCUUGUGCAAUUGUCGUUUCGAGUGGAUCGUCUUCCAACAUAUCAAGAUAAUCCUGCGCCAAUUCAUCCAAUAUAUCAAUAGAAAAACAAGAAUGAUCAUCUUUAGGAAAUUUCAUAGCUUCAGAAAUGUUAAAGUUAAUAAUCUCCCCAUCAAAUUCCAUUGUCAACGUCCCUUUGAACACAUCGAUCUUGGUGCGUGCUGUUUUCAUGAAUGGACUCCCAAGUAGAAUUGGCAAUGGGGUGACAUUUGGUGAGUCCUCCAUCUCUAAAACGUAGAAAUCCGUUGGAAAUAUCAAGUUAUCCACCUGCACCAACACAUCUUCCAAAACUCCUUUCGGAUAUGCAUUAGAACGAUCGGCUUUAAUUGAAUUAUAACACCAUCGUUUUUAAGCUCUCCUAAGUUCAUGGAUGCAUAUAUUGAGUAUGGCAUG
rnacentral:lncRNA from 1 species